AGCAGCCGCGGUAAUUCCGGCUCCAAUAGCGUAUAUUAAAGUUGUUGCAGUUAAAAAGCUCGUAGUUGAAUUUCGGGGUCAGCAGGUUGGUCGUGCCAAUGGUAUGCACUGGCCUUGCUGAUUCCUCUCUCUUGAUGAGCCGUAAUGCCCUUAAUUUGGUGUUGCGGGGAAUCAGGACUGUUACUUUGAAAAAUUAGAGUGUUUAAAGCAGGCAAGCGCUUGAAUACAUUAGCAUGGAAUAAUGAAAUAGGACGUUUGAUCCUAUUUUGUUGGUUUCUAGGAUUGACGUAAUGAUUAAUAGGGAUAGUUGGGGGCAUUAGUAUUCAAUUGUCAGAGGUGAAAUUCUUGGAUUUAUUGAAGACUGACUACUGCGAAAGCAUUUGCCAAGGAUGUUUUCAUUAAUCAAGAACGAAAGUUAGGGGAUCGAAGACGAUCAGAUACCGUCGUAGUCUUAACCAUAAACUAUGCCGACUAGGGAUCGGAUGAUGUUAAUUUUAAUGACUCAUUCGGCCG
rnacentral:rRNA from 1 species